rnacentral:tRNA from 1 species
GGGCGGUUAGCUCAACUGGUAGAGCGCCUCGCUUACACCGAGGAGGUUGUUGGUUCAAUUCCAUCACCGCCCACCA